UGGCAUUUAAGAAAGAAAAAAUCAGCUCCCCAGGUGGUUUUAAUGUGUAGACAGGCAUGAGAACUUGAUAAAGUCCAACCUUGUAUUUUGAUAGGUCCACUGAGGAUCAAUCAGUGUGACUGGUAGAAGUCCAAUUUAUGCAAAGAAAACUGAGACAUUGUGCAAAAAAUUGUCAUCAGAGCCACUUCCUCUUCUUCAUUUGGCCCUGUGGACUUCUUUCUGUUAGCCCGUGUUUUCACUCAAAUUCCCUUCUGUGCUGAAUCCCCAAAGACCACACCCCUCCAGUGCCCAGACCCCCGUCCUUUCCCAGGUCCCUGUCCCAGUCAAAACUCUCAUUCCUUCAAGGACCUGCUGAGUAACUAGCAAACUAAUCUUAAAUGCGUUCUAGCCAAGGUGUUAAUGACAGAUAAUGACUUAAUGCAUUACUCUUCCCAGAUAACAUUUCCAUUUUAAUAGAGCUUUUAAAUGCCUUAACCCAAAAGAAACAGGCUGAAAAAUGCAGGGAGAGCAAAUACUUGGCACCUUUGCUCCUUCCUGGAAGACAUCUUCAGAACGGUCACUGAAGCCUUCCCUGCUCAGCCUGGACCAGCCUGGGAAGUCUUCCCUGCCCUUGGUAGUCUCUACCAACCAAUGAUGAAGGUCAUUCUGGGCCCCAGCUUUUAAAUGUGAACCCAACAUCUACCUUCUCUGGAUCCCACCUCACACGUCCAUCAACUGGUUGAUGAUGUUCCCAAUCUGGUGGGAGUGGAAAGUCUGAGAAGCCUUCAUGCCGUUAUCAAUCUUCUUCCCAGGGCAGAGCUCCUGCCUCCUGACUCUGCUCUGGGUUCCCACAGGAACACCCUAAUGACAUGUUGACAAGCUGGUGAAGCAUAGUUCCCUCUCUGUUGCAUCUGCCUCUGGCACCACCAUUCCUCCUGCAUUCUCUGACAUGGGCAGCGGGGUGCUGUGCUCAGUGAAGCUCCCUAUACCCUUUCCUUCUGGAAACAGAGAAGAAUAAAAAUAAUUGGGGGUGACUCAGUAUCUUC